rnacentral:rRNA from 1 species
GAUGAACGCUGGCGGCGUGCCUAAUACAUGCAAGUCGAGCGAACGGACGAGAAGCUUGCUUCUCUGAUGUUAGCGGCGGACGGGUGAGUAACACGUGGAUAACCUACCUAUAAGACUGGGAUAACUUCGGGAAACCGGAGCUAAUACCGGAUAAUAUUUUGAACCGCAUGGUUCAAAAGUGAAAGACGGUCGUGCUGUCACUUAUAGAUGGAUCCGCGCUGCAUUAGCUAGUUGGUAAGGUAACGGCUUACCAAGGCAACGAUGCAUAGCCGACCUGAGAGGGUGAUCGGCCACACUGGAACUGAGACACGGUCCAGACUCCUACGGGAGGCCGCAGUAGGGAAUCUUCCGCAAUGGGCGAAAGCAUGACGGAGCGACGCCGCGUGAGUGAUGAAGGUCUUCGGAUCGUAAAACUCUGUUAUUAGGGAAGAACAUAUGUGUAAGUAACUGUGCACAUCUUGACGGUACCUAAUCAGAAAGCCACGGCUAACUACGUG